UGGGGAAUAUUGCACAAUGGGCGAAAGCCUGAUGCAGCGACGCCGCGUGGGGGAUGAAGGCUUUCGGGUUGUAAACCUCUUUCGCUAUCGAACAAGGCCCGCUUAGGGUGGGUUGAGGGUAGGUGGAGAAGAAGCGCCGGCUAACUACGUGCCAGCAGCCGCGGUAAUACGUAGGGUGCAAGCGUUAAUCGGAAUUACUGGGCGUAAAGCGCACGCAGGCGGUUGAUUGAGUCAGAUGUGAAAUCCCCGGGCUUAACCCGGGAAUUGCAUCUGAUACUGGUCAGCUAGAGUCUUGUAGAGGGGGGUAGAAUUCCAUGUGUAGCGGUGAAAUGCGUAGAGAUGUGGAGGAAUACCGGUGGCGAAGGCGGCCCCCUGGACAAAGACUGACGCUCAGGUGCGAAAGCGUGGGGAGCAAACAGG
rnacentral:rRNA from 1 species